GAUGAACGCUGGCGGCGUGCCUAAUACAUGCAAGUCGAGCGAACGGACGAGAAGCUUGCUUCUCUGAUGUUAGCGGCGGACGGGUGAGUAACACGUGGAUAACCUACCUAUAAGACUGGGAUAACUUCGGGAAACCGUAGCUAAUACCGGAUAAUAUUUUGAACCGCAUGGUUCAAAAGUGAAAGACGGUCUUGCUGUCACUUAUAGAUGGAUCCGCGCUGCAUUAGCUAGUUGGUAAGGUAACGGCUUACCAAGGCAACGAUGCAUAGCCGACCUGAGAGGGGGAUCGGCCACACUGGAACUGGGACACGGUCCAGACUCCUACGGGAGGCAGCAGUAGGGAAUCUUCCGCAAUGGGCGAAAGCCUGACGGAGCAACGCCGCGUGAGUGAUGAAGGUCUUCGGAUCGUAAAACUCUGUUAUUAGGGAAGAACAUAUGUGUAAGUAACUGUGCACAUCUUGACGGUACCUAAUCAGAAAGCCACGGCUAACUACGUG
rnacentral:rRNA from 1 species